UCGAUUUCGUGAAUCGGAAGGCUGCAUUCCCCAAUUUCUUUUUUUGUCGGACUCGAGCAAAAUUAAUCUACGCAGCUGUCGUCGAUACCUAGGAGUAGUAAACUUUCCUGAGGGAAAAAAAAAUAAGUCGAGAAUUUCGCUAAGUUGGGGACAAGGGCGCACCACAGUCCACAGUGGUCUGAUAUAAUUGCGCCGCAUGGCUCCUCGCAAGCGGUUUUUUGGAAUAAAGAAACUUCCUUUAUGCCUUAAAUAAGCGCGCCGUAUGAUUUACAACUUUUUGGUGAAAGUAUUCAUUACUUCCACGGUAUCUAGAGCGAAAGGGGACAAACAAGAUUAUACUGGGGACUUCCUUGGCGACUACGUAGGGAUAUCGAAAACGUCGAGAAGAUUGACCAAAGAGAAGUCCGACGCCAUUGCCUGCUUCGCGUCAUGUGUCGUUCAACGUCGCGCCCGUUUGCCUCUCAACAGUGUUCCACUGAGUUUGACGCUGCAUAUUCUAGCUCAAUGUUCGCGGCGGUGCGCCUCGUGCAUGCAGCGUUGUCAUCGCCUUGACUCCAUGUUCGGCCUGCAGGUCGGCGUUAUGGUUGUCAAUUCUUGUGCUCAUCAACAUCAGCAGCAAGAUUGCAAGCUAACAUGCAUUAGUUAUUUUCGCAACAUACAGUGUCAACGUUUCCUAAAAUGCGAUAACAAUGGCUUUAUUCCACCUGGAAAGUACACCAUGGAUAUGCCCGACAAAUGAAAGGAACCUAGGCUCAGUCAAGGACAAUGCUGAGAAACUCUACAUGCUGAUUCAACUAAUGGAAAUGCUUCUAACAGGCUGGCCUCAACCAUAUCUCUAAAAGAGGAAGAAUUGGAGCACAAAGGAGAAACAAACCUUUGGCACGUUAGCCUCCGGCCAAAAGCACCUCAAGGAACUGCAUCUCACAUGUUGCACCGUUGCUGCGACAGUACCCUUUCAAUACAUUGUGGAACAGGACCAAGUCUCUGGGAUACACGUACGAUGUCAUAAUACCUCUUAUUGGAGUGGGGAAUGAUUUGCCAAGCCAAUGCAAUUGCCAGCAUGCUGCUGCAAUGUUAGGUUUCCUGAAGCCAUCCCCACCAGUGUCCUGCAGUAAAGUGGCUAAUUGAAAAUAAGGCAUCAGUCUUGUGCUAUGCGGUGAAUUAGUGUCUUGAGAAAUUCUGAAAAGAUUGUGCCGAAAGUGCAGUGCUGUGGCUGAAUGGAAGAAGUGGGUGCCUUUUAUUGUGCUGUGAAAGUGAGUACCAAUAGUAUAGCCCAUAAAAGUGUAGGGCUGUAAGCAGUAAAUGGUUGGUGUGGUGACACAAGUCUGCUCUGCUUUUGUGCAAGUGUGUGAGUGUGUGUGUGCACAUUUGUGUGGUGCAUCCUCAAGUUAAUAAAUUUAGUGUCAUUGGCCUUGCCUCGUGCAGUGCUACAUCUCUCACAAUAAGUGUUCACCUCGGCCAGUGUUUUGAAGAUUUGUCAAGCCACCAAGAUGAUCUACACUGUCCAACAGCCGUUUCUUGUCCAGCUGAUCCACAAAGUAGUGCUUCCCUGUGUGCUGUGUGCCAAGUAGACGUCAGCAAUUGUGCAGUGAAAGUAAUUUGUGAAAGUGGUUUGCCCAAGGGUAUAUAAGUAUAUGUGUGUGAGUAAAGUUACAAGAUUUCUACAGUUUUCAUCUCGUCAGUGGUGCGGGGCUGUUUCAAAGUGAUGUGCAGUGUGAUAUGUGAAGUGAACAGUGUGGUGAGAGUGCAGUACCAUGUGUAAUGUGGUUUCAAGGUGUACACUCCUAGUGAGUAGGCAGUUAACACCGAGUGUGUAGGAGGUGAAGUGUGUCAGGCUCAUGUCUGACGUCACCACCAUAUUUAGCAAUGAGUCAUGAAGAAAUCGUGAAAGUCUACAAAGGUUCAAGGCAAAUGUGCUUGCAGCUAUCGUGCACCUCCAUGGAGAGCUUCAUAGGAUUAAUGUGCGAUCAAGUAUGCACGAUCAAGUAUGCCAAACUGGUUCAACAUGCUGAUGCAGGUUGGUUGUAGCUAUGGUGUUUUGAAUGAGUCGCAGCAUUCACAAGGAAAGGCUGACCAGCUGUGUUAAGAGGGUGCACCAUUAUUAUGCUUCUUGCAGGUGGAACUUUCUCCUCUGAGCUCUGCUGGAGUUCCUCUAGCAUGUGCAAAUAUUCAAGGCACUUAAACGCAUUGUUGUCUCAAUCAGCAUUGAAGCACAAAAUACCUACGUUCUAACCAGCAGUGAUAAAAUACAGCCAACUUUCUACUAUACAGUAGAAAAUUGGUCACAGUGCACAUAGGUGAGUCUUGCAGGGUUUGAUGUUUGUUGUGGGUUGACUUGAAGGUAUGAAAGCAAAUUAAUUAUGCAUUUGCUUAAAUUCCUUAACCAGCUUUGGGAUCAAGCUGCUGCCUGAAAAUGGAUCCAUCAUGGCAGGAAAAUCCUGUGUUUGGUUUAUUAAUGUCACAGGUGUGUCCAGCACGGUGAGUAUCUAGGUUUAGGUGCCAUCUCACAUUGUCUUUCAAGCUGCAGUUUGCACUGUUCUUAGAAAUGUCUGCUUUGUGGUUCAGUUGACAUAAAACUUAUUUGUGCAUGAAACUGCUUGGUGACAGUAUUACAUUGUCAGUUCAGAGGAUUUCUAUUUGAAAGUCCAAAAUAAGGGUACUGUGCAAACAUAUCAGAAUGUCUCGUAUAUACUAUAUUUAAAGCAGCUAUACAUUUUAACUCGCUUUGUUAAUUUUACUGCUGUAGUUCACAGUCAGCCUUAUGAAUAUAUGUAUAAAUCUGCAUAUAACUUCUUGGAGAGACACAAAGCUCAUUCACAAAUUCAUUAGAAAUUAGUGUAGCUUAAUCAGUUCUUCUGUAGUGUGCAUAUUUGGUGGUGGUGUUACAACCAUUAUUGCAUAUAUAUGUUGAAGUGCUUCCAGAUUGUUGCUGGCUGUGGUUAGACCAGUGCUCCCACAGCAAUGUAUUUAUCACUCGGUGAUUGGUGCCUGUACAGUAUAUGCAGUAUGUGCGGUGCACCUUGCAUCUGUUGGAUUCUAGCUGGUAAUCUGCCUGGCCUUUUCUGAUCGUGAGUACUCCAAUCACCUUAUUGCUAUUCCACAACAUGCAUGCACUACCAUACAAGCAUGACCAUGCACUAAUGAAA
rnacentral:lncRNA from 1 species